UGGGGAAUAUUGCACAAUGGGCGAAAGCCCGAUGCAGCGACGCCGCGUGAGGGAUGACGGCCUUCGGGUUGUAAACCUCUUUCAGCAGGGACGAAGCGCAAGUGACGGUACCUGCAGAAGAAGCACCGGCUAACUACGUGCCAGCAGCCGCGGUAAUACGUAGGGUGCAAGCGUUGUCCGGAAUUACUGGGCGUAAAGAGUUCGUAGGCGGUUUGUCGCGUCGUUUGUGAAAACCAGCAGCUCAACUGCUGGCUUGCAGGCGAUACGGGCAGACUUGAGUACUGCAGGGGAGGCUGGAAUUCCUGGUGUAGCGGUGAAAUGCGCAGAUAUCAGGAGGAACACCGGUGGCGAAGGCGGGUCUCUGGGCAGUAACUGACGCUGAGGAACGAAAGCGUGGGUAGCGAACAGG
rnacentral:rRNA from 1 species